rnacentral:rRNA from 1 species
UACGAAGGGGGCUAGCGUUGCUCGGAAUCACUGGGCGUAAAGGGUGCGUAGGCGGGUCUUUAAGUCAGGGGUGAAAUCCUGGAGCUCAACUCCAGAACUGCCUUUGAUACUGAGGAUCUUGAGUUCGGGAGAGGUGAGUGGAACUGCGAGUGUAGAGGUGAAAUUCGUAGAUAUUCACAAGAACACCAGUGGCGAAGGCGGCUCACUGGCCCGAUACUGACGCUGAGGCACGAAAGCGUGGGGAGCAAACAGG